GAAUUAUUUUUUAUGUUUUGAAAACGUAAUGAAGAAUUAUUUAUUCUGUAAUUUU
rnacentral:tRNA from 1 species